AGAGUUUGAUCCUGGCUCAGGAUGAACGCUGGCGGCGUGCUUAACACAUGCAAGUCGAACGAAGCACUCUAUUUGAUUUCCUUCGGGAUUGAUUAUUUUGUGACUGAGUGGCGGACGGGUGAGUAACGCGUGGGUAACCUGCCUUGUACAGGGGGAUAACAGUUGGAAACGGCUGCUAAUACCGCAUAAGCGCACAGUACCGCAUGGUAUAGUGUGAAAAACUCCGGUGGUAUAAGAUGGACCCGCGUUUGAUUAGCUAGUUGGUGGGGCAACGGCCUACCAAGGCGACAAUCAAUAGCCGACCUGAGAGGGUGACCGGCCACAUUGGGACUGAGACACGGCCCAAACUCCUACGGGAGGCAGCAGUGGGGAAUAUUGCACAAUGGGCGAAAGCCUGAUGCAGCGACGCCGCGUGAGCGAAGAAGUAUUUCGGUAUGUAAAGCUCUAUCAGCAGGGAAGAUAAUGACGGUACCUGACUAAGAAGCACCGGCUAAAUACGUGCCAGCAGCCGCGGUAAUACGUAUGGUGCAAGCGUUAUCCGGAUUUACUGGGUGUAAAGGGAGCGCAGGCGGUGCGGCAAGUCUGAUGUGAAAGCCCGGGGCUCAACCCCGGUACUGCAUUGGAAACUGUCGUACUAGAGUGUCGGAGGGGUAAGCGGAAUUCCUAGUGUAGCGGUGAAAUGCGUAGAUAUUAGGAGGAACACCAGUGGCGAAGGCGGCUUACUGGACGAUAACUGACGCUGAGGCUCGAAAGCGUGGGGAGCAAACAGGAUUAGAUCCCCUGGUAGUCCACGCCGUAAACGAUGAAUACUAGGUGUCGGGAGGCAUUGCCUUUCGGUGCCGUCGCAAACGCAGUAAGUAUUCCACCUGGGGAGUACGUUCGCAAGAAUGAAACUCAAAGGAAUUGACGGGGACCCGCACAAGCGGCGGAGCAUGUGGUUUAAUUCGAAGCAACGCGAAGAACCUUACCAAGUCUUGACAUCCUUCUGACCGGUACUUAAUCGUACCUUCUCUUCGGAGCAGGAGUGACAGGUGGUGCAUGGUUGUCGUCAGCUCGUGUCGUGAGAUGUUGGGUUAAGUCCCGCAACGAGCGCAACCCUUAUCUUUAGUAGCCAGCGGUUCGGCCGGGCACUCUAGAGAGACUGCCAGGGAUAACCUGGAGGAAGGCGGGGAUGACGUCAAAUCAUCAUGCCCCUUAUGACUUGGGCUACACACGUGCUACAAUGGCGUAAACAAAGGGAAGCAAAGCUGUGAAGCUGAGCAAAUCUCAAAAAUAACGUCUCAGUUCGGACUGUAGUCUGCAACCCGACUACACGAAGCUGGAAUCGCUAGUAAUCGCAGAUCAGAAUGCUGCGGUGAAUACGUUCCCGGGUCUUGUACACACCGCC
rnacentral:rRNA from 1 species